GAGGGUAUAGCUCAGUGGUAGAGGGUAUGCUUAGUGUGCAUGAGAUCUUAGGUUUAAUCCCCAGCACCUCCA
rnacentral:tRNA from 1 species